UACGGAGGGUGCAAGCGUUAAUCGGAAUUACUGGGCGUAAAGCGCACGCAGGCGGUCUGUCAAGUCGGAUGUGAAAUCCCCGGGCUCAACCUGGGAACUGCAUUCGAAACUGGCAGGCUAGAGUCUUGUAGAGGGGGGUAGAAUUCCAGGUGUAGCGGUGAAAUGCGUAGAGAUCUGGAGGAAGACCGGUGGCGAAGGCGGCCCCCUGGACAAAGACUGACGCUCAGGUGCGAAAGCGUGGGGAGCAAACAGGUUAGAUACCCUGGUCGUCCACGCCGUAAACGAUGUCGAUUUGGAGGUUGUGCCCUUGAGGCGUGGCUUCCGGAGCUAACGCGUUAACUCGUCCGCCUGGGGAGUACGGCCGCAAGGUUAAA
rnacentral:rRNA from 1 species